GAGUGAUUUGUUAAUCCUAGGACACAUGCGCAGAACAGUUCCGGAAGCUCUGCACAGGUGCACAUGGACUUCUCGCGAGAACUUGAGCAGGUUUUCCAGAGGAUGGCCCAGCUAGAUCGGACGACAGCUAGAUCGGACGACAGCCAGAGGCAAGGCAAGUUCUCUGGCAAGAUAACACUAGCCUCAAUGGGUUCUGGGGAGAGGAGGAGGAGAAAGAGGAAUCAGAGCCACUCAGAAGAAUCUGAACUGAGCAGUGGUAGACCGAGCUGGAUACACUUUGUCUCUGCAAACACCCAUCACAGCUAAUGAGAUGGAAAUGCAAUGGGAAAUGAACCACACUUUUUAAAACCUUCUUUUCCAAUUUCAUUGACUAUGAAAAUUUGCAGGAAACCUUCAGAGAUGAGAAGGGAGAUGGUGAAAGCAAACCAGACCAGAAUACAAAAUAACUUCAUUCACAUCAGAAAUCACUGGCAGGAUUUUGCUGUUACACACAAUCUGUUAGUUGGUUGAAUGGAGGACAGCCUGGUCAGAGUGGGGUCAACUGUGCCAAAAGAAGACAACAGUCAUCAGUUCCCUUUUUCUCCGGGCAGAAACCAGGACGUGAC
rnacentral:lncRNA from 1 species